GGGGCUGAUUUAGGAUUCGACAGGAUCACGAAGGCUUUGGGAGCAUGCCGAGGUGCGGUUGGCCUCGUUAAAAAGCCGCAAAAAAAUAGUCGCAAACGACGAAAACUACGCACUAGCAGCUUAAUAACCUGCUAAGAGCGCUCCUGCCCUAGCUUCCGCUUGUAAGACGGGGACUCACAGGGGUUCAAACCCAAACAAGAUAGCGAGGGAAUCUUUGACUAGAGAGAUGAACCGCGAAAUAUGAAUUCUGGUAUGUAUUUGCAUAGCGUGUCUGUUCGCAGUGUACUUACGAGAAUAAAGACAGACUAAGCAUGUAGCGCCUCUGGUUAGACUGGUUUUGGACGCGGGUUCAACUCCCGCCAGCUCCACCA
rfam:Photobacterium jeanii strain R-40508 scaffold24, whole genome shotgun sequence.